rnacentral:lncRNA from 1 species
AAGCAACGACGGUGUCUUGUUGUGGAAAGCUUGUGCUCACCGAGGCUGGAAAAUCCUUCAAAGAAAGGCUCUGGUGAUCCUGGGCAAUUGGGAAUUCCCACACUGAUGAUGGAUCAAACCAAGGCAAGAAAACAGCGGUGGAUAAAUGGGACAAAUGAAGCAUGGAAGCUCUGAGAUGCAGAACGCAGGAGGCUUUGAACUCAUAUUUUACAUUCUCGUGCCUACCUCAAACCCACCUUGCGAUAAAUAUUUGAAAG